UGUUAAAAUUUUAUCCAUUUUUAUUGUUAAAACCUAGAGUGGUCAACAGCAUAAUCACGUCACAUGUAUCUCAUUCUGACAUACAAGGACUACUUUUAACAGUAGAAAUGAAUUGAGUUUUUAAUA
rfam:Gossypium raimondii Chr05_contig_1344, whole genome shotgun sequence.